CCUGGCGGCCGUAGCGCGGUGGUCCCACCUGACCCCAUGCCGAACUCAGAAGUGAAACGCCGUAGCGCACCUGACCCCAUGCCGAACUCAGAAGUGAAACGCCGUAGCGCCGAUGGUAGUGUGGGGUCUCCCCAUGCGAGAGUAGGGAACUGCCAGGC
rnacentral:rRNA from 1 species